rnacentral:miRNA from 13 species
UAAUCAAAUAAUGAAAUCUAAAAUCACCAAUAAUGGGACACUAGUGAGAUUAAUGUUGUUGUGUCCCAUUAUUGGUGAUUUCACAUUUCAUCAUAUGAUUAAGGAUAUA